ACGCACGCUGGCGGCGUGCUUAACACAUGCAAGUCGCACGGAAAGGCCCUGCUUUUGUGGGGUGCUCGAGUGGCGAACGGGUGAGUAACACGUGAGUAACCUGCCCUUGACUUUGGGAUAACUUCAGGAAACUGGGGCUAAUACCGGAUAGGAGCUCCUGCUGCAUGGUGGGGGUUGGAAAGUUUCGGCGGUUGGGGAUGGACUCGCGGCUUAUCAGCUUGUUGGUGGGGUAGUGGCUUACCAAGGCUUUGACGGGUAGCCGGCCUGAGGGGGUGACCGGCCACAUUGGGACUGAGAUACGGCCCAGACUCCUACGGGAGGCAGCAGUGGGGAAUAUUGCACAAUGGGCGGAAGCCUGAUGCAGCAACGCCGCGUGCGGGAUGACGGCCUUCGGGUUGUAAACCGCUUUCGCCUGUGACGAAGCGUGAGUGACGGUAAUGGGUAAAGAAGCACCGGCUAACUACGUG
rnacentral:rRNA from 1 species